rnacentral:rRNA from 1 species
AUUGAACGCUGGCGGCAGGCCUAACACAUGCAAGUCGAACGAGUGGCGGACGGGUGAGUAAUGUCUGGGAAACUGCCUGAUGGAGGGGGAUAACUACUGGAAACGGUAGCUAAUACCGCAUACCAUCGGAUGUGCCCAGAUGGGAUUAGCUAGUAGGUGGGGUAACGGCUCACCUGGGCGACGAUCCCUAGCUGGUCUGAGGGGAUGACCAGCCAACCGGGAACGGGAACACGGUCCGGACUCCUACGGGGGGCAGCAGUGGGAAAUAUUGCACAAUGGGCGCAAGCCUGAUGCGGCCAUGCCGCGUGUAUGAAGAAGGCCUUCGGGUUGUAAAGUACUUUCGGCGGGGAGGCGUUACCCGCAGAAGAAGCACCGGCUAACUCCGUGCCAGCAGCCGCGGUAAUA